UAACUAACACCGAGCCCUGAAAGACAAUUCAUAAAAAUAUCGUUUCGUUAUCAAAUUUGUGGCAAAAAUAUCAGUUAAAUUUUUCAAUAAAUUGUCUUCCAUGUCUAUUUUUUUUCUGUUUCUAUGGAUUAUUUCGUUGUGUUGCAAAUCACACUUUAUGGCAAUAAUUUUCGUCAAUUGGACGACUCUGCGUGCGUUGUGGAAGGAAAUUUGCAACACAAACAAACAUGGAGGAGAGUGCACUUGACAUAAUGCACGGAGACAUGGAGCUCGUACCUACUUCGGUCGUAUGGACGUGGUUUGGGUAUGAAAAGAAUGACACGGACUAGAAAACCGUCCGCUGCAAAAUACUCCGCAGGCCGGUCCCGACAACAGGCUCAUACACCACUAACCUCUUACCACCUACGCAAGAAUCAUUUGAAACUGUACGGAGAUAGUCUACGGAUGAGACCCCAAAAAGUACAGUCGAGUGUUCAAAACAAACCCCUGACUCAGGCGAUGCAAGAGGCUUUUGCCCGCGGCACAGCAUAUGGCGAAGAAUCACGAAGAUGGAAGGAGAGCUCUACAGACUUUGCCAAGCUGACAAGAGUGGAGCUGUAGGCUGCUGAUGUCACCAGGCAAAGUUCCCACACCUUUGCUGAGCAGAGAGGAACCCGAUACAGACAAACUGUGCAGAAAAUCAUGGGUACAGUAGUAGAGCAUGAUAGUAAAAUAAAAAUUACCUUUGCAUUUAACCACCUGCAUGUGUGUAGGUGCUGUCUGACUAGUACACCCUACUAGCUGUCUGACCCUACUGUCUUUGAGUGCAUUGAUUGAAUACAUCUUUAUCAAUUAAUUUAGUUUUGCACUAAAUACAUCCAGUAAAUUAAAUGUUCAGUGUUCUAGUGUCCCUAUGUGUCUGCUCCUACUGUCACAAUGAGGUCCUUGAGCUGCUGGUGAGAAACGGGGCAUUGGUCAACGUAGCUGACCUGUGGAAUUUCAACCCUCUGCAGCCAAGGGCAUAUAGCCAAGAGAUCUGCUGAUGCUCAAGCACACGCAUAUUGUGGCCCUCCCGAUCAAGUUCAAUGCCCGUCUGAACGCCACUGGCAAGAAAGCCUUCAACCCUCUACACAAAGCAGUUCAUUAGGCUGAUGGGAUCUCUGCCCUGUUGAUGCAAACAAUGCCCCCAGGUGCAGAGAGGAGGGAUCACCAGCUCAGCUCAUCAGUGUCCAAUCUCUGGAGGGGACAACAGACAUUGCUUAAUCUGCGCUUGAUUCGACCCAUGGGCCACACAGCAAAACGGACUAAUUCAUAAAUCCUUUAGCUAUUGUAUUUGAACCUUUUGUGUGUAUUUCAUUAAAGCUUGCAGGUUUUUACAAUAUUAUUUAUUUGUAACUAUCAGACAAAUCUGUAAUCGUUUCCUGUAAUUAUGUCCCUCAUGGCUACAAUCUUAAAGGACAGUGGACCAGCAGCAAUCAGUAUGUAGCCUGACAUCACUGGAGAUGUUGAUGGUAUUUGUGUAGAACAAGAAAGAAAACAAGUAGUUAGUUAACAGGAACAAGUAGCUCAGACAGCUCCAUCCCAACAUCCCCUGUGGACUCCCAUCCCACUCCUGUUGUAUGUCCUGCUCUCACCCUUCAAGAGGUCCCGCUGAAGCUCACUAGUCUUGUCCUGCAUCAACCCAAGGUGCUGGCGGAGGGAAAAUAGACAAAGCAAUGUGCUUAUCAUAUUUUUUUGAGGGUUUGGGGGAGCACUGGGUAAGCCAUCCUCACAUAAAACAUUAAUAGCCCUGGCCUAUUUCUGUGUUUUUCACAAUGUACAUAAUGUUGUGAGUGUCUUAUAUGUAUUAGCGUGGAUGUCAUCUAGUUGAGAAACCAAUAGAACAAAAAUAUUUUAUCAAAUACUGUGUAUAUCUAUAUAUUUGUGCUAAUUAUGUGAUACAAGGUGACAGUAUUGAUUGCUAGACUGAUUAAUUGGGACACAACUCAAAUUAUGAGCUUGGUUUGUAAAAUGGGCAUAGCACAAAUGCACAAGUUUUUAACAACGUUUUCAGAAACAUAAUUGCGUUGUGUCAAACAGAAUAUCAUACAAUGAUCUCCUGACAUGCACAUAUAGAGCAAGCUACAGCACAGUCCUGUUAGUCGCAAAUAAUUUACUUGCAUAAACAAAAUGUUGUUGACCUUUCCAGUGGUUGUGCGCACGGUGCUUUGUGCCUCCAUAUUUCCCCUCCCCCAGCAAUCCAGAUCCACGACCCUGCUCUUAUCUCGUGCUGGAAUGCACGUUCACGCUUGUUGUGCUGCAGUGUUAGUGCCCAUGUACUAAUUGGCUCCUAAAACCUGAACUAACACGAUGUCAGCACCCACGAAUCCGGUAUAUGCGACCAUCAGUAGAUUACAUUGAAAAAAAAAUGACUGCCCAUCUGGGAGGCUGUCUUGUUCUUAUUAUAGCUCAAUGGUUUUGAAUCUGAAUUUAGAGAACUGAACUUAAACUGAAUCUCAAUGCAUCUGAGAAGUUGAAUAUAUGAAACUUUUAUCAACUUAAAAUUAUAGUUUGUAAACUUGAUACACAGACAAUGAAUGCAAUAUCUACCAUAUUGAAACUGAAUACAUAAAUAUUGAAUUUGAAGAUUCAGUUCAAAUUGAAAUUUAAUUUAAAAACGGAAUACAAUAUUCACUCAAUUCAGUUUCAAAUCAUGAAAUUCAAGUUCAAUUUGUCCAUUACAAAUUCAAAAAUAUUACAUUCAAAUUCAAUAUCCUAAUAAAAAUUAUGAAAUUCAAAUA